UACAGAGGGUGCGAGCGUUAAUCGGAAUUACUGGGCGUAAAGCGUGCGCAGGCGGUUUUGUAAGACAGAUGUGAAAUCCCCGGGCUCAACCUGGGAAUUGCGUUGGAGACUGCAAGGCUGGAGUCUGGCAGAGGGGGGUAGAAUUCCACGUGUAGCAGUGAAAUGCGUAGAGAUGUGGAGGAACACCGAUGGCGAAGGCAGCCCCCUGGGUCAAGACUGACGCUCAUGCACGAAAGGCGUGGGGAGCAAACAGG
rnacentral:rRNA from 1 species